UAUGUGCAAGAAACCUCAGCUGCCGCAUAUACACCCUAUUUAAGAACGGAGAGAGGGGGAGAGAGAUCAGUAGCCUAUUUAAGCGAAACCCAAGUAGCCUCCUACGCCUUCCUCAUCGACUCGCCCUCCUUCCCCUUUCCUCCUCUCCUCUCCUCUCCCGCCCCUUUUUCUUUUUCUUCUCUCUCACUCCCCUAGAAUCGAAUUCAAGACAUCUUGGAGGACGAACCCUAAACCUAAGGCGCUGAAGGUGGAUUGCCCGGCCAAGGAGCCGAUGAAGGCGAUGGUUUCUGGGGCUCCUGCGGCGGGGAAAGGCACUCAGUGUCAGAUGAUCGUCGAGGAGUAUGGAUUGGUGCACAUAUCAACAGGAGAUCUAUGUAAGAGAGAAAGGAUGGCUACUUGAUGUGUACCCCAGGAGUUCUUCACAUUCACAAAGUCUUGAAAGGAUCAAAAUAAGACCAGGCAUAUACAUUGUGCUAGAUGUUCCUGAUAAAAUUCAAACCAACAGAUGUGUUGGAAGGAGGCUGGAUUCAGUGACUGGCAAAAUGUACCAUCUUAAAACUUUCCUCCAGAAACAGAGGAAGUUUCUACAUGGCUUAUAUAUCCUAGAAGCCGCCUCGUCCUUGAACCCCAAAUGCCCAACAGGAUACUCAACCAACACUUUGUCAUCAGAUAAAGCUUUUACAGCUGCGUCAUGAUAGCAGGAACCCCACUUUGCUGUUUGAAUCCCUGUCAUCACAGCCGCAGCUCGACAGUAAAUCGAAUCAAGGUUAGGGACCUUAUGGUUCAAAUACCAAGAAAACGAAUCGCAAUCAGCAUUAUCAGCCCAGGUAGACGACACGAGGAAAGGAUAAAUAACAAAACAGUGGGGUAAAGUAUUGAGAUGUCCAAACAAGGUUCUCAUGCUUAAAUGGCCAAAGGCUGGAGGUCAUUAAAGGAGAUAAUAUACUCAUGAAAAGAUUUGUUGAUGUAGCUGCCACGAUUUGUCAACAAGGAAAACAACCAAAAUGGAAAAGCGGUAAAAUGUCCAGCCCAACCCAGAGUUCAAAAUUGUAGAUGUGCUUCAUCAAGAUAACAACCAUAAUUUUAUGUGGUAGAAUUAUAGUUGUUAUGGUUCUUCCAUGUCUUAACUACCUGUAACAGCAACAGCAUUACCAUGACAACUGAUUGCCUGUCAGAAUAAGUUGUAUUUUAUGAGACAUGGUGGCUGCUCACACUAAUCAUGUUUUCAUGGAAGGGUAGAUAUUUUGACAUAAGAUCACUCAUGUUGGAACUCUACUCAAUUUCAACUCUUCUAUCAUAAUGUCUUAUUUUAUACGAUGAUAGUAAGUACUACAUGCUGCAUCCUUGCUGGUCAUAGGCCAGCAUAAUACAAAACUAUGUUGUGUCAUGCCAUGCUAUGCUGCUCAUGUGCUUGCCCUCAUUUCCAGGGCUCAACUAAGAAAAAUGAGUCUGCCAUUCUGUGUUAAUCUAUGCUGGCCUGUCCAGCUGGUACAGACUAAUACAGAUAGGCAGCAUGGCCUAUGCAGCUAGUACAGAUGAUAUAGAUAGACUGGUAAGCAUGAUAUCAUGGCAUAUUCACCCUGUACCUUGCCUAUAUAUUACAAGGAAGGUGUGCAUGUUAUGGCGUUGACUGGCAUGACACUGCACCUAAUUCACGGCGACACCAGUACCGGUAUGGUGCGGUAUGCUCAGUACUGGUAUGGUAUGCUACACUCCAUACCAUAACGAAUGGUGUUCCUUGAUUUAGACUUUUUCCUUUUGGAUCUAGAAUGCCAUGUCUGACUAUUGUUUCUUACAUAUGGCUAGGUCAAAUCUAGUCUUAGAAACAUAUAAAUGAAAUGCUGAAGCUAUCUUGCCAAUAUAUUUGGACUUGUUAAGCAAGGUGAUUGCAUACUCUGCAUCACGUUUAAUUUCACAAGAAUUUGAAGAAAUGAUUCUUAUUUAUUUUUA